rnacentral:rRNA from 1 species
CGGAGCUAACGCGUUAAGUCGACCGCCUGGGGAGUACGGCCGCAAGGUUAAAACUCAAAUGAAUUGACGGGGGCCCGCACAAGCGGUGGAGCAUGUGGUUUAAUUCGAUGCAACGCGAAGAACCUUACCUACUCUUGACAUCCAGCGAACUUGGCAGAGAUGCCUUGGUGCCUUCGGGAACGCUGAGACAGGUGCUGCAUGGCUGUCGUCAGCUCGUGUUGUGAAAUGUUGGGUUAAGUCCCGCAACGAGCGCAACCCUUAUCCUUUGUUGCCAGCGAUUCGGUCGGGAACUCAAAGGAGACUGCCGGUGAUAAACCGGAGGAAGGUGGGGAUGACGUCAAGUCAUCAUGGCCCUUACGAGUAGGGCUACACACGUGCUACAAUGGCGCAUACAAAGAGAAGCGACCUCGCGAGAGCAAGCGGACCUCAUAAAGUGCGUCGUAGUCCGGAUCGGAGUCUGCAACUCGACUCCGUGAAGUCGGAAUCGCUAGUAAUCGUGGAUCAGAAUGCCACGGUGAAUACGUUCCCGGGCCUUGUACACACCGCCCGUCACACCAUGGGAGUGGGUUGCAAAAGAAGUAGGUAGCUUAA